GACGAACGCUGGCGGCGUGCCUAAUACAUGCAAGUCGAACGCAGUGGGGACGGGUGAGGAACACGUGGGUAACCUGCCCAUCAGAGGGGAUAACACUUGGAAACACGUGAUAAACCGGUACUGAUGGAUGGUCCCUCGGUGCAUUAGCUAGUUGGGUAGGUAACGGCUCACCAAGGCAACGAUGCAUAGACGGCCUGAGAGGGUGAUCGGCCACACUGGGACUGAGACACGGCCCAGACUCCUACGGGAGGCAGCAGUAGGGAAUCUUUGGAAAUGGACGAAAGUCUGACCGAGCAAUGCCGCGUGAGUGAAGAAGGUUUUCGGGUCGUAAAUCUCUGUUGUUAGAGAAGCGGUAUCUAACGAAAAAGCCCCGGCUAACUACGUGCCAGCAGCCGCGGUAAUAC
rnacentral:rRNA from 1 species